ACUAAUGUCUCCUGUAGUAGUGUAAUAUUUUCUUUAUAAGAAAUCCUUUGAGAUUAAACAAUCACAUUAUUCAGAAAAGGUUUAGUAAGCAAUUUGUAAAAACAAUAAAGAAAAUGCCAGAAAGUUCUCUGAUAUUAGAAAUAUUUCUUUAUAUAAAAAAUUUAUAUCUCCUCUAUGUCUAGUUGCUACAUAAUCUAAUAGUUUCCUAUUUGAACUCAGAUUCAACACCGCAGUUUUAAAAUUUUUUUAUUUCCAGAUUAUUAAAAGUGCAUUAUUCACCCCUAAAUAUUGCUUAAAAAAGAUCAUUUAUGAUCAAAAUAAACAAGAUUAUAAGAUCAAGAUAAAAAUCAGGAUCAUGACCAACAUCAAGAUCAAGAUGAUAAAUAUAAAGGUUGUCUCAAAUAUUUUAACAUUAUAAUAUUUCUAGGUGCCUAGUACAGAUAAUCCCUGCCAUCAACCUUGCUCCUCAGAGAAAGCUGUGAGCGAGGAUGCAUUUACCUCUGAGUCCGAGAGUUCAACUGCCACGUGUAAAACAGUUCGGAAUAUGGGACCAAAAAACAUGAGCCAAUCAACUUCAGUAAGUUUUGGAUCAGAGCUGUCUCUUGAACAAGAAAGCAAACCAUCAAGCACUCUUAACAAACUUGCAGCUAAC